UACGGGGGGGUAAGCGUUGUUCGGAAUUACUGGGCGUAAAGGGCUCGUAGGCGGCCAACUAAGUCAGACGUGAAAUCCCUCAGCUUAACUGGGGAACUGCGUCUGAUACUGGAUGGCUUGGAUCCGGAAGAGGGAUGCGGAAUUCCAGGUGUAGCGGUGAAAUGCGUAGAUAUCUGGAGGAACACCGGUGGCGAAGGCGGCAUCCUGGGCCGGUAUUGACGCUGAGGAGCGAAAGCCAGGGGAGCAAACGGG
rnacentral:rRNA from 1 species